rnacentral:rRNA from 1 species
UACGGGGGGGGCAAGCGUUGUUCGGAAUUACUGGGCGUAAAGGGUUCGUAGGUGGCCACUUAAGUCAGACGUGAAAUCCCUCAGCUUAACUGGGGAACUGCGUCUGAUACUGAGUGGCUUGAGUGCAGGAGAGGAAUGCGGAAUUCCAGGUGUAGCGGUGAAAUGCGUAGAUAUCUGGAGGAACACCGGUGGCGAAGGCGGCAUCCUGGACCGGCAUUGACGCUGAGGCGCGAAAGCUAGGGGAGCAAACGGG